GGUGUUGUUAUGUUAUAUAUGUGGUGCCACACAUGAGAAACAUGAACCAAUUACACCAGCACAUGGGGAUUUCCAAGCGAAGCCUAAUAAAGGCUGAGCAUUUAUUUAUGAUCCUUUUCCCAUACUAUGGUUGUAUGGUAGGGGGGUGGUUGGUGGCCUUUUAAAAU